GUGCAGGAAAAGUUACAAUACAGCUUGUGUAGUACUGUAUUGUCGUUCCCCCUGCAAAAAGUAAUCUGUUUCUUCGCUAUACCUGUCUGUCAUAUUGUGGCUGCCAGGCACGUAAGGUUUCAGACAU
ensembl:snoRNA SNORA63 Small nucleolar RNA SNORA63